CAAGGUCGCACAAUGCAACAAGAAGAAGGGACCGUGAUGUCUGCGCUAGGUCUGUUCCAGUCGUCUAUGAAAGGAAGGACUAUCCCAGGCUAGUCCUAUUAAUUAUACUCCUACUAAGCAGUACUCCCAUUGUGAGGAAAGAACAAUAGCAAGAUCAUACAGAUGGCAUCACGACCUUUCCUUCGCCGAUGUAGCUGGUCACACUACAUUUAGACCUGAUCGUGCCUGCGGAGCGAUCUAAGGGGGCUGAAGUUUCAGAACUUCGAAGAAUGAUCCGAGGGGUUGGCGUGACUUUGGGCCGACUCAAAGACAACCCUAUGGCACGUGCCUCUUCCAAAGGGGGUAACUUAGGCAAGGUAUUAGAAGUAGGAUCUCCG
rnacentral:lncRNA from 1 species